UAAAGGACCGGGUUCAGGGCUACGAACCUCAGUCGAUGCCUGUGUAAAUGCAGUUAAGAACAUUCGUAUCGCCAACCAUAAAUCGGUCUAAUGACUUGGGGAAACUGCAGGCCAGCACAUGGAGUGACGGAUGUGAGUUUCGAUAAGUUUCAUGGAUACCAAGGAAAAGUGGGACUUCGGGCCAAUUGUAUUGCCAGAAUUAGACUAAUAUUGUUGUGUUUAUUCUGUUGAACUCAGGCUAGCUAAAAUGCUUUGUGACAUCAAUAAAUAGAGAAACUACAA